rnacentral:rRNA from 1 species
CCUACGGGAGGCAGCAGUGAGGAAUAUUGGUCAAUGGCCGGAAGGCUGAACCAGCCAUGCCGCGUGAAGGAAGAAGUAUUUCGGUAUGUAAACUUCUAUCAGCAGGGAAGAAAAUGACGGUACCUGACUAAGAAGCCCCGGCUAACUACGUGCCAGCAGCCGCGGUAAUACGUAGGGGGCAAGCGUUAUCCGGAUUUACUGGGUGUAAAGGGAGCGUAGGCGGUUUAGCAAGUCAGAAGUGAAAGCCCGGGGCUCAACUCCGGGACUGCUUUUGAAACUGGUGAACUAGAGUGCAGGAGAGGUAAGUGGAAUUCCGAGUGUAGCGGUGAAAUGCGUAGAUAUUAGGAGGAACACCAGUGGCGAAGGCGGCUUACUGGACUGUAAAUGACGCUGAGGCUCGAAAGCGUGGGGAGCAAACAGGAUUAGAUACCCGAGUAGU